rnacentral:lncRNA from 13 species
CUGGGGUUGUUGAAAAGAAUAAAUUCGUUUUUACAUUAAAAGCAAUUGCAACAGUGGCUGGCAUGUUGUAAACACUCCGGAAGUCAUGGUUAUGAUUCCUAGUACUAUGAAGUGAUGACUUCCUGACUAAAUAGCAGGUACAGGUAAAGACUGAGUUCUCCAGAUGCCGUCUUGAGCCACUUCCUUUUAGCCUUGCCCAUCAGAUAGACCCCAGGCAUUCCAAGUCCCAGCACACAUUCUUUCCAGGUGGCAUCCUAGAUACUAGGAAGAAGAAAGACUAAUAUUUGGGGUGGGGGCUGGAUGAAGUGUUCUUGCUUAAAAAAAAAGAAAAGAAGAGGAAGAAAAAGCAACCAGAAGAGUACUUCCAGUUUCCAACCCAGUGAAGAAGAAGCUUGGAAGCUGCCAUGCUACCCUAACAAAAGGAAAAGAGGAACCUGGUGCAGAAGCAGAACUUGAAAGUAGCCAUUGAACGUGACUGCUGAAGCACAGCACCACAUAGAGACAGUUAAGUCCCCUGAUGUCUGUGGGCCUCCCUGACAGCUGUCAGGCCCACCACAAGAGCUUGGAGAAGCGGAGUUUUCUCCUAACUCCUUCGGGAAGGAGACGUCUUGGCUGUCUUGGACGUCUCCUUCCCUGGCUGGCUAAACAGCGGGCGCUUUCACAGCACUGACACGGUUGCACAGCAAAAGCGUCCUCCAGGAGCCCUUAUGUGGGCGACAGAGGGCUCAGAGCAUCUUGCCUUAGGGUCAUCUCUUUCCCAGUGCCACUUCAGUCCCACGCUUCUUGACCUGAGACUUAUUAGUAAGAUUAAAGAUUAUAUAAUUACAUGCAUGUAUAUAUUUGUGAUUACAUAUGAGUAGCUAUGUGAUUAUGUAUGAUUAUAUAUAGGAAUAACUAUGUAACUAUAUUUCUAAUUUGUUUUGAAUUCUUUAUAUGAGAACGUGCUGAGGCUUCAGACCCUUGCCUUGGCUCUUCUGGGGUUUUCUCCCUACAGAAGACCUAGUCAUGGGGUUGGGAGAGUCUUACACGUUUGUGAGUUUUACCCCCAAGAACUUGACCUGGUGCUCACAUUAAAUAUUGAAGAAAAAUCCUCUCAUGUCUCCAGUACAGGGAGGAGAAAAGGGCCAUUUUGGAACACACCAAAACAUUCUGUUCUUCUUAACAAGGUCUGCCCU